rnacentral:rRNA from 1 species
AGGACGACGCUGGCGGCGUGCUAACACAUGCAAGUCGAACGAAGAUAUUUAGAGUACUUGUCAAAGGAUAUCUUAGUGGCGGACGGGUGAGUAACACGUGAGCAACCUGGCUUAAAGAGGGGGAGUAACAUCUGGAAACGGAUGCUAAUACCGCAUAAGACCACACCGACACAUGUCGGAGGGGUAAAAGGAGCAAUCCGCUUUAAGAUGGGCUCGCGGACCAUUAGUUAGUUGGUGAGGUAACGGCUCACCAAGACUGCGAUGGAUAGCCGACCUGAGAGGGUGAACGGCCACAUUGGAACUGAGACACGGUCCAGACUCCUACGGGAGGCAGCAGUGGGGAAUAUUGGGCAAUGGAGGCAACUCUGACCCAGCAACGCCGCGUGAGGGAAGAAGGUUUUCGGAUUGUAAACCUCUGUCCUUGGGGACGAAGAAAGUGACGGUACCCAAGGAGGAAGCCCCGGCUAACUACGUG